AGGGUUCGAUUCUGGCUCAGGAUGAACGCUAGCUACAGGCUUAACACAUGCAAGUCGAGGGGUAGCAGGGUAGCAAUACCGCUGACGACCGGCGCACGGGUGAGUAACACGUAUCCAACCUUCCCAUAACUCAGGGAUAGCCUUUCGAAAGAAAGAUUAAUACCUGAUAGUACUUUUUCAAGGCAUCUUGAGAAAGUUAAAGAUUUAUUGGUUAUGGAUGGGGAUGCGUUCCAUUAGAUAGUUGGUGAGGUAACGGCUCACCAAGUCUUCGAUGGAUAGGGGUUCUGAGAGGAAGGUCCCCCACAUUGGUACUGAGACACGGACCAAACUCCUACGGGAGGCAGCAGUGAGGAAUAUUGGUCAAUGGGCGAGAGCCUGAACCAGCCAAGUAGCGUGAAGGAUGAAGGUCCUAUGGAUUGUAAACUUCUUUUAUAGUAGAAUAAAGUGAUCCACGUGUGGAUUUUUGUAUGUAUACUAUGAAUAAGGAUCGGCUAACUCCGUGCCAGCAGCGGC
rnacentral:rRNA from 1 species